UUUGUUUCUUUUUCUUUGCCUUAAGUUUAGUCUUUUCAAAAGCCGCGAUUUGCUUCUGGGGGAGGUGUUGUAGUAGUAAUACAUUGUUAGCCUUUAAUACACGAUUAGUCUGUGUGUUUGUGUGUGUGUGUGUGUGUGAGCGAGUGUGUUCGUGUUGCGUAUUUGUGAAUAGAGAAGUUGGUGCGGUGAGCAGUAGACGAAAGAGAUUAGACGGGUUUCGAUUCGAAAACGAUUCAAAACCAUUACCGAGAAUGCAUCCGGUAUUGAGUUAUUGGGGAAGAGAGAAGAGAGAAAAUACGUAAGAAUUUUCAUACGAUUAUUUAGAAGGCAUUUAUAUUUGGCAAAAAAAAAAAACUAGUAGAAUGCUGAAGAGAGAGAGAGAGAUGGAGUGGUUCUACCAAAAGCAUGCUACUGGGAAAAUUGUUUUUGUUUCAAUUAUUGAAUUAAUAAUCUUUUUUUUUUACUUUAAAGUGUAGCAAACGGAACUGGAGAGCUGGUGAACAAAGGGAAAAAAGUACAAAAAUGCUCAAUAUACUGUUUGCUGGCGGCAAAAUGAUAGCACAGAUCGAACGGAAACGGAAAAAAAAGCAUGCAUUCGGCAAUCAUGCACAUGAGAACUGUGUGUGUGUGAGUGUGUUUGUUUGCUUUAUAUUAAGGUGAAUGAUGAUUAUGGUAAGGGUGUGCGCGUCAAGUGAUUGGUAUGGGUUUCUUUCCGGAUGCAAAUGCAGCUAGAUAUUUCAUUAUGCAAGCAUUGGCACUGGUGCAUCAUGCUUAGCCCUAACGGUAGUUAAUUCGACGCCUAGUAGCUUCGGCUUCUUCUCUAAAUGGAAGCAAAAAUUAAUAAAAAAAAUCCAUAACGUUCGUGUGGUACUGUUAGAAGAAAUUUCUUUUUUUUAUUAUCUGUGUACUCUCUAAUCGAUUACUAAAUACAGCUUUUAGAUCUGCCUCUGUAUGUAAUUCUUUUCUGGCUACGAAAUUCUCUGCUGCGCUUCGCUUUCCGUAAAAUACUGAGAUUGCUAACAAAUUUCAACAACAGUGUGCCUGCAACAAUCAUCUUGCAAAACGGUUGCAAUGGUCCGGGUAAGGCCUAACUACUCUUGCGCAACGUGUCCAAUACUAGCUCCCUUGCUCACUUGCUCCUGUGGUAAAUCGAUCGC